rnacentral:lncRNA from 1 species
UGCUUGUUCUUCCUUUAUCGUUGCUCUUCCCGUUCCCUGCUGGCUUAAGUGCCUUACUCAGUAAAGGUCCUAGGAGAGCAUCACUUGCUCGUGUCUAUGCUUUGUGGAAUGCUACUUCUCUGUCAAACAUUGUAAGGUUACACAAUACUGAGUUGACUUGCUCAAUGUUAGCUUCAAACACUUGAUAAAUGAUACUACUAGAGUGUUGACAUUUGAUUUUUUUGUGUUGGAAGUAAUUGAAAAUUCAACUAGAGGCUUACAAAAUCAUAUUCUGCUGCAGUGAACUUGAAAAGAAAUUUUGUAGCUCCUCGAUGAUUGUAUGAACACGUCAAAUGACUACUUUUUGAUCAAAUAUUAUUUGUGCAUGGCAGGUAGUGGCUUUUGUUUGCGGCCUAAUUCAAUAUGGAAUUUCCUCAUCGCAACCACCCGAGGAGGCAGACAUGUGGAAUUCUAUGAGGUGAGACUAUUGAUUUUUGCACUGCAUACUGAGAGAGUUAAUAGAUUGCGCCAACAUUUACGCUCAAGUCGUAAACUUGUCCAAAAGAAUAUAGCGAUGUACAAUUUAGCGUUUCCUAGUUUAGUUUUGGCCUCUUUUAGAUGUUGAAUAUGCAUCUUAAAUUAUUUACUUUAAUUGUUUAUUAUACAAACAGUGGGGAAGAUGAGAAAUGGUGGCUAUUACCUGCAACUCUCAUGCUAUUUAAGUUGAUCCAAGCUCGACUCACCGACUGGCACAUAGCGAACCUAGAAGUACAAGAUUUUUCCCUCUACUGUCCG